GGUCCUCGACUCCCGGUGGGACGAUGCUGCUGAGAUCCAGCUCCGGGUACAGGGCUUGAACCGCAUCCCGACCAUCCUCGUACCCCACCCGGUACGACGUGAAGCCAGACUCCAAUAGCUCCUCUCGGUACUGGUCGGUGCCGCGAAAGUCAUCCACCGCCCGACUCGCCGACUCCUUCGCCGACCUUGCUUCAGCUUUCGCCCGGCCGAGAGAGUCCUUCGUC
rnacentral:lncRNA from 1 species